rnacentral:rRNA from 1 species
UACGUAGGGUGCAAGCGUUAAUCGGAAUUACUGGGCGUAAAGCGUGCGCAGGCGGUUUGCUAAGACAGGUGUGAAAUCCCCGGGCUUAACCUGGGAACUGCGCUUGUUACUGGCAAGCUAGAGUGUGGCAGAGGGGGGUGGAAUUCCAGGUGUAGCAGUGAAAUGCGUAGAUAUCUGGAGGAACACCGAUGGCGAAGGCAGCCCCCUGGGCUAACACUGACGCUCAUGCACGAAAGCGUGGGGAGCAAACAGG